GCCCCCGUAGCUCAACGGAUAGAGCGGCUCCGUCCUAAGGAGAAGAUGGAAGUUCAAUUCCUCCCGGGGGCA
rnacentral:tRNA from 1 species